rnacentral:misc_RNA from 1 species
GAAAUGCGAUAAGUAAUGUGAAUUGCAGAAUUCAGUGAACCAUCGAAUCUUUGAACGCACAUUGCGCCCCCUGGUACUCCGGGGGGCACGCCUGUCCGAGCGUCAUCUCAAAACCCAUCGGGCUCUCAUGCCCGGCCGUUGGGGCGCCGCGCCCGAGGUUGGACCUCUGGGUGCUCCCCCGAAACGUAAUGGCGACCCUGAGGUCCCCCGCGGAGAGCGAACGAGGCGUCCAGCCGUCGCCCCCGCUCGGAGGACCGCUUUGGGGGUUGGCCCACCGGACCCCGGGCUCACGUCCCGGGACAACCAGCGAACCUUGACCUCGGAUCAGGCGGGGCUACCCGCUGAACUUAAGC